rnacentral:rRNA from 1 species
UUUGGAAUUAAUUAUUGAUUUUUAUUUAUGAAAGUAUUCUUUGUUUUAGUAAUUUUUUUGAAUAAAGGGUUGUUUAUUAUAGUUUAUUAGUAGAGUGAUUGAACUUUGAAAUAUUUGAUUAUAUACUUUAAAGAAGAAUUAAUUUUUUGUACCUUGUGUAUCAGGGUUUAUUAAUUAAAAUUUAAUUAAUUAAUUUUCUCGAAUUGAAAAGAGUUAGUUUACUAUUAAUUUGAUUGUUGAAUAAAUUUUUUUAAUAGUUUAUUGGUAAUGAAACGUUAUUCGUUUUUUAAUAUAUCUAGUUUUUUAAGAAAAGAAUUUAAUUCUUUUAUUUAUUUAAAUUUAGGCUUUUUUUUAUUAGUCUUAAUUUUGUGAAUAUGAAAUGUUUAAUGGGAUGAGCUUUUGAACAUAUUUUUAAAAAUUUUUAGUUUUUGUUAAUAUUUGUAUGAUUAGAAUUGUUGAUCUUUAGAAUAAUUUUAUAGUUAAUUUUUCUUUUAUUUGAUUUUUAUUUUUUUUUAAUUUUUAUAUUAAAAUUUAGAUAUUAAUUUUUGGUGUCUAUUGAUUAUGAUAAAAUUAGUAAAAUAUUUUUUGUUGUUUGAUUGGUUUUGUUAGGUUCUUCUAAGGAAUUCGGCAAAUUUAUUUUCCGCCUGUUUAUUAAAAACAUGUCUUUUUGAUUAUAAUUUAAGGUUUGAUCUGCUCAAUGAGGAUUUAAAUUGCCGCGGUAUUUUGACCGUGCAAAGGUAGCAUAAUAAUUAGUUUUUUUAUUGAAAGCUGGAAUGAAUGAUUGGACGAGAAAAUUACUGUCUCUGAUGAAAUUUUUUUUGAAUUUAACUUUUAAGUUAAAAGGCUUAAAUUUUUUUUAAAGACGAGAAGACCCUAUAGAGUUUAAUAUUGGAUUUGGUAAUAGUUUUUUGGUUAUUUAAUGUUUUUACCUUUUUUAAUAUUUGGUUGGGGUGACUAGAAGAUUAAUUAAACUCUUCAAAUUUUAAAUCAUUUAUUUGUGAAUAAUAAAUCUAAUUUUUUUAAAUUUAAGAUUAAUUACCUUAGGGAUAACAGCGUAAUUUCUUUUUAGAGUUCAUAUUAAAAAGGAAGUUUGCGACCUCGAUGUUGGAUUAAAAUUAAUUUUUGGUGCAGAAGCUUCAAAAUUAGGUCUGUUCGACCUUUAAAAUUUUACAUGAUCUGAGUUUAAACCGGUGUGAGCCAGGUUGGUUUCUAUCUUAAUAAAAAUAUAAUAUUUUAGUACGAAAGGACCAAAUGUUGGAUAAGUUAUUUUAUUUUUGAAUAUUAUU